rnacentral:rRNA from 1 species
UCUCAGUUCGGACUGUAGGCUGCAACUCGCCUACACGAAGCUGGAAUCGCUAGUAAUCGCGGAUCAGCACGCCGCGGUGAAUACGUUCCCGGGCCUUGUACACACCGCCCGUCACACCAUGAGAGUCUGUAACACCCAAAGCCGGUGGGAUAACCUUUAUAGGAGUCAGCCGUCUAAGGUAGGACAGAUGAUUAGGGUGAAGUCGUAACAAGGUACC